rnacentral:lncRNA from 1 species
UUUUUUUUUUUUUUUUUUUUUUUCGGCGGGGAGUGGCGUGCUGGUGUGGACCUAUGUAAUUCACGGUGUUAAUGCAUGCUUGAAGGUCAAGGUGUUGUUGCAAUCUGGGGUGGAUGUGUUUUUGUUUUUGACUUGCCCAAAGGAUGAAAUUCAUUUAAUAUUUUAGGUGGCGACAUUGAUAUAUAUAAAUAAAUAAAUACAUAAAUAUAUAUUUCUUAGACUCGGAGCUUUCCCAUGUGCCCUGUACAAAAUAUAUAUAUUUUUUUGAGGAUUGCCUUGUGUAAUUCAGAUAAACAUUACAUAUGCAUAUGAUAGAUACUAGGCAGAUACUAGUUAUAAUUCAGAUAAACAUUACAUAUGCAUAUGAUACUAGGCUAUAUUUUUUGGAGAACCCGUUUGAAUUGCUAGUUGUUAGAAUUUUUGGUGAAAAAAUAUACUGUAACGAUUUGAUAUAUAUGAAUUAAGAUGCGACUGAAAAAUAUGUUGACGAAAAAUAUAGAAGUUUUCUUCAAAAAAUUGCAAUUCAAACAAUGCUCUUACAUUGUUCUUUAAACUUCUUUUUUAUGAAAAGGUCUGGAUGCAUGUUACAUGAUUUUGAUUCGCAUACACAUCUUCUUUUAGCAUGUAUAAAAAUGUCUUUACAUUGGAAAAUCAACCAUUUCUCUAUUACUUUGUAUGUGUUGCAUUUAGUAAAGCAGUUGUUAAUAUAUAUUAAUAUAUAUCUUCAAAUUGCUCAUGAAUCGGUUGAUUGCGAAGACAAUUCUUAUUGCUUGCCUAUUUUUUGCCAUAAUGAUAAGGAGUUAAGCAAGAAAAGAUAACUGUCAUGUAUUUAGCUGAAACUUUUUUUUUUUUUUUUUUUUGGAGAUUUUCUAUCCUUCAAGUGGCACUAAUUUUUCACUUUGAAUAGAUCCAACACCUUUACAUGGAUGGUAACAAUAAUAAUUUCUAUGUAGAGGGAAAAAUAAAGGGAAUGUGGAGGUUUACAAAAUUUAAAAAGGACAAUUGUAUACCUAUUGAACUUAAAAACACUUUAUAACCGUAUUUUAUAAUUUUUCAAAGUAGAGAGCAAUUGUCCACUCUUAAUUGUAUAUCGCUUUGCAUUUACUUGUACGUACGAUUAUAUCUAAUAAUCGUAUUUUAAUUUUGGCAUAUAUACCUUCUUAGCGAUGGAUUACACUUUCUCCUCCCAUAUGAUAGAGAUCUAAUAUGGUAAAUCCCAACAUUCUGCAUCAAAUUACAAAGGAAAUAGGAUUUGACAGUCGAAACUUGUCAUUCUCAAAGCUUUUGUUGUUAUCUUUUGGUCCGAAUGUCAUCUCUAUAUACAUCAUUUGGUCAAAUUUUAUAUACUUGUAGAUAUGGUUGAAUCCAUUGUGACACUAGCACAAAUCUGCCCAAUUUUGAUCCUUUCCCUGAGGGUCCCAAAUGACUUGGCUUGUUGCAAUUUCAAUCAAAGCUGGGGAGCAGAGCAAGGUGGGGAACCCACUGAACCGUUUCCCACUCGUGAAUGCUAAUGAGUAGCCUAACAAGACAACAACAAUCUUAAAACGUUGUUGGUCUUGAAAGGUUCUAAACUUCCAUACAGAAGACGAGGACGGUAGCAAUCUAGCUAUCUUUAUCGUAUGCCUCCGUUUUUCUUUAGUUUUUGGAUCUAAAUUUACAACUACUUUCCUGAUGUUUAAAAUGAUACUGAAAUUCAUGUGAGGAGUUGUUGUUCUUAUUUCCCCCAAGGUAAAGUUCUUAUAGUCAAAUUAGUCAUUUAGUUUUGUUCCGUAUUUAUGGAAAUUCGUAUGCUUUUAGUUAGAGGUGGCAAUUUGUCCCAAGUCCCAAUGGGUUACCCAUUCCCAUUGAGACUUUGGGCGGGAUGGGUAUUAGGAUUUGAUAUUGGUUUAAAAUGGGACAAAUCCCAAUUGUACCCAUUAAUUGAUGGGAAAUUUUGGAAAUUGCUUGGGUACCCAUUGGGCUCAAAUAGCAAGGGCUCCGUUUGGAUUAACUAUUUUUUGGGGGUGUUUUUGAAAUAUUUUAUUGUAGUAGUGUAUAUGAAAAAUUUUUACUAUAAAAUAUUUUUUGAAAUAUUUGAUAUACUAAUAUGGAUGGGAUGUUUUUUGAGUUAUUGUAUAUUACUGUAACAUUGUAUUUGAAAAUCUUAUUUUUUGAAAAAAUAGCCAAUCCAAACGGAGUCUUAGAUUCAAAAAUUAUCUUUAACAAUUUUUAUAGUCAUGAUUGUAUAUCUAUCUUUUCCUUUAUUUGUUAAUCCAAUUUUUGGUGAUAAUCUUGAGUAUAAAGCACUUGCAUGUUUAUUUAAUAAAACUAAAAGAAAUUUAAUAAAUCAAAAAUAUUAAAAUUAUAUUAAAAAAUAAAAAAUAAAUUAAAGGAAAAAAAUAUGUAGAAAAUAGAUUUGGGUAUUGGGCGGGAUCAAUCUAAACCCAUCCCAAAGUGAUCCCGCCCAAGUUAGUCCCAAAACAUAUAUGGGUAAGGUUGGGCCCAAACCCAUAUGACUCGAUUCCAUCUUAAACCCAAGCAAAUCCCGCCCAUCCCGCCCAUUUUGCCACCUCUACUUUUAGUUAAUUAAGAGAGCCAACAAUUUGAUAACCUUCAUUUCUUAUAGAUCAUGUAAUCAAGAUCGCACUGUGUCAUUAAUUAUAUGUGGCUGCAUAUUACAUUAUCGGCCUAUGUAACGAGUGCCCCAUAAGCACUCGUUAAAAUGUAUUUCAGGUGUUAUAUUUUUACAAAUAUGAGAUUAAUUAGAAAAAGUAUAUAAAUGCAAGGAGAUUAAGUAGCGAAAGUGUAUAAAUGCAAGAGAAAAAGUAAUUAUUAGUGCGUAUAUAUACAUGAUAGGUUAGGUGAAUUUUAGAUGUAUUAACAGGUGCCCAAUUACAUUACGCGAUUGAAUUUCAACCAUAUGGUUAUACGCAAUUGUUACACCAAAGAUACUUAUCAAAUUAGGAAAAAAAAAAAAAAAGGGGUCCUUGGGAUGAUUUUUUUUUUUCUUUUUCUUUGGGGUGUUUGGGAAAUUUUUAUACGUUUCGGUGCGCAGGUCAAGUAGUUGCUUCAAAACCAAUAAAAAUUUCACAUGAAUACACAAAGGUUCCAUUUGAUUUCAUUUAACAUGCUAAGUGAGUCCCACUUAAUAUGUGAAUUAGCAAGUGGAGUUUAUACAUAUUCAUGUAGAACUUUUCAAUUAGUUUUGAACCAACCAUUGCAUAUGCCAAAUAAUUGCUCUACACCAACCUAAAUAUCUAGGGUUAUUUUUUGGGGCAGGGGGAGGGGGGAUUGGUGUUGCGGCUGGGGAUGAAGAGGGAGAGGAAGGGGAUGUGGGGGUUGGGGUUUAGGAUAUUAGACCACAUUUGGGCCACUCAUUCUUGUAGUGGCGUAAGCCAAACACAGAGUUGGAAUUUUCACAUCUACGUUGUUACAUUUUCUCAAACUUUAAUUUUCUUUAAUUAUCCUGCACAAAAAAAAAAAAAACUUAUGAUUUUCUAAGUUGCUAUAUAUUUAUAAGGCCUUCAAACUAAUGCAUGUAACAAAGAGCAUAUUUCAAUUAGUCCAGCAGAAAUUUGCGUAACAUACUAAAAGGGGGUCUAUUUCAGUACCCUUUCUUACACAUGUGGAAGAGAUUAAUUUAAACACUAGCCACAUGUGACAUCUCUUUCAAAAUUCUUUGAUUUCUUCUGUUGGGUAUUCUGCCUAAUUAAGAAACUGUCACGUAAUUUAAUUAGCUAAAGUUAGCAAUAGAUAAUGCUUUUUUUUUUUUUUUUUUCCCCUUUCAAAGAGAUGAAAGAAGAAGAAGAAGGUACGUAUGGUCUAAGAUACGUCCUAGAAAACUUCGACAAAGAAAACCUCAAGUAUAUCUAAAUUACGUGGACGCAGCAGCAUCUAUGACAAAUUUCUCAAAGUAGUUCAACAAAACCUCAUCAUGAAUUUUAUUAAAUACUUUGGUCAAAUUUAAACCAUCCCUUAAUAAGCGUAUUAUGACUUUUUAUAAUAAUGAUCCUUUCGGAUUUGACAUAAUUAUAGUGACCUUAAACCUAUCUUCUUAAGCUAUAUAUAGCAAGUUUUCAGGUCGGCAUCACCUUACCUAAUACACUGUUUAUGAACAUAAUCCUCAAAUUAAAUACAAAUAGUAGGGAAAGAGAAAUUUGAAGGAUGACCAAUUAAUCCCAGAAUUCAAAGAGGGGCUCUUUGUAUUAUGACAAAAAUUCAUGCUAAAGCUCUUUUGAUUACAAGUAGAAGGUCUUUCUACAGGAAUAAUUGAAGGAAAAAUUGUAGCUCCAAUUUCUUUGUCCUUAGGGGAUGUGAAAACACCCUGCAAUUAAUGCAUCUAAAAUCAACAUCUAGUAUGCUAGCUUUUUACAGUUGACAUGGUCUGCCAGAGCCUCCAUUUCAAUACACUGAUUCUAUUCGAAAGCAACAAUAUCUACAAUCUUCCACAUAUGAUCAUUAGCUCUUUAAGGUGUUGUAUUCAAGGUUUGACAAUCUUCAAUUGAUUCACAUGCACUAAUGUUUCAAUUCUAUCAAGAUCUUUAAAAGGGCGUACAGUUCAAAGAUUAGAAACAACUAUGUUGUACGACUAACUUAUCUAGAUUUAUUUAAUUGGGUUGGAGGAGAGUUUGGUCCAAAAAUGGAUUCCUAGUUAUUUGAAAGUACGAUUAUGGGCUGCUUUGACCUGACCUAUUCCUUUUACUUAAUUUCUACAAGAAGAGAGAUUUCUAUAUGAUGUUCUUGAUAUAUUUUUCUUUGCCUCAACAGGGCGGAUUAGAGGAUAUAUUGUCAAAAGUCAACUGGUUUGGUGGUAGUACAUACGAAAGAUUAGCAUUACUUGGUAUAUAUAUUUUGUCUUUACAAGGUGAUCAUGGAUUACUCUCUAAACGAUUGCUAUUUUUUUCAAGUGGGGGUAUCUUGAAGCUAAAUUGUCUUCCUAGUUUUCAUGCUUACAAUUCAAUAAGGGUGUAAACAAGUUUAGUCAAGUUGAGCACUAGCUUAAACUUGUUUAUUUAUUUUAACGGACUUCAAGUUAUGUACAAGUUUGACUUUUUAUUUAUAGAGCUGAAUACGAGUCGCUUAAGUUUUGAUAUAUAAAUUUCAAAGUUUACGCCUUUUGAGUUCAGAUCAAAACUUUACUAGAUGCAAAUCUCUGUUCAUAUUUGGCUUGAUUGCUUUGGUAAAUCACAUUCGAAGGAGCUCUUCAAGAGUUGACGAUGAUUUGAGUAUCGAGUAAUUUAGUUUUUUAGCCUCGUUUUAUGCAGGCAAUUACGAUAAAUUAGAAAGCUGACGGGGUGCACCAAAGAGAUUGAAUAAGAAGAGGCCUAAAACUCCUUGGAACUUUUUCAACGGACGUUGAGAACUUGAGGUGGUCUCUUGCAGGAUGUUGUCGACAAAUCUGCGUAUAAUUAGGCCAAGUGAAUCUGUAAUUCUCAGAAUCGCAGCACCUAUCAUCUUCGAUUUUUCAGGGGGAUUACCAAAAUCAAAUUAGGGAUAAUUGUAGAAACCUCCCCUGAGGUUUCUGACUAUUUUACUAUAGUCCCCUCUAUGUUUUAAAAAUUACACUAACCUCCCUUGAGGUUAAUUAUGUUGUAAAAUUAUUUUAGACCCAAUCAACAAUUAAAAAAUGACUUUAGAAAAGAAAAAAUAAUAUGAUUUCAUUAUUGCCCCUCUUCUAUAACAUUAUUUAAUUAAUUUAAUACCCAUUCAUACAUUAAAGAAAAAUAUUAAAAUUUGUUGUUUAUCAUUAGGGAUCAAUUCACAUAUAACAUUAAAAAAUAGUAUAUAUUUUUCACUUAAUACAAGAUCCAAAUUACUCUUUUAGUUAUAUAGCCAUUGUCAAACAUGAUCAAUAAUAAUAAUAAUAAAAAAUUUUGCAACCAAAAUAUUACAUAGAAUAAGCUUUAACAUCAUAAAUGUUUUUGUCAACAUAUUAAGGUUAGUUACUGAGGUUUUUAUGGUAUUAAAGUUUGCUCUUUGUAAUAUCUUGGUUACAGAUUUUUUGAUUAUUUGUUGUUGAUCAUGUUUAACAAUGGGUUUGUAACUGAAAAGAACAAUUUGGAUCUUACAUUAAGUUUAAUAUAUACAAUAUACUAUUUUUGAUGCCAUAUGUGAUUUAUUCCCUGAUGAUAAACAACAAAUUUUAGUGUUUUCUUUAAUGUUUAGGCUGGUAUUACAUUAAUUUAAACAAUUGAGUAGAAGAGCCGGACAUUGGUGGAAUUAUAUUAUCUUCUUUCUCCUAAUAUUACUUUUUAAUUGCUGGUUGGACCUAAAUGUUACAAGAUAAUAAAUUUCAAGGGAGGUUAGUAUAAUUUUCAAAAGUUAAGAGGAGGCCAGUGAAAUAGUCAGAAACCUCACCUCUAGGGAGGUUUCUGAAAUUAUCCCAUCAAAGCAAUAUCUUUAUUCACUCUAGUGGCUCGGCCUAAUAUUUCUUUAAAAGGGAUGCACAAAAUAUUCCACCAUAUUCCCUUUGAGCACUCUAACCUCCAAAAUUACGUGAAACAAAAAUUUCCAAAAUAUCUUGAGAAAAACAUCAAAUCCUGAUCAAUUGGAAAGACUUUCUUGACACUGAACUGAAUGUCUAUUUUAUUCACUUUAUUUUAUUUUUUUAAUGUUGAUUUUUGCGUAAUGAAAAAGUGUUGCUGGAUAAGGAUCGUGUAUAUGUCAACAUUAAAAGUUUCGCUUCAUGUGAAAACCAUGGAUACCAAAUAUGCGUGAAACACAACUACCAAGUAGAACACAUAUAAUUUUAUCUCUAGAAUUGUACCUAAUAUUUCUUGCUUGUAUUCCACAAUAAAUUUGAUUGAAGCAUCCAUUUAUGUCAAAUACACCUCCCCAACGUUAAACAAAGCUUGAUCUAUUAGUCAAACACUUUAAACAAGCUCUAAGGAGGUUCUUUUCAAGAAAUCAAUAUUCUUGGAAUAAAGCUCGUUACUUUGUGUGUUUGCUAUUUGUCAACUGGUAUAAUUACCGUCACAAUCAUGAUUAGAAUAUUACAUGUUAAUUUAAACAAGAAGAAGCCCCUUAAACUUAGAACUCAAGAUAAGAAAUAGCCCCUUAAACUUAGAACUCUAGAUAUGAAAUUCAGUGACUAUGGCUUAGAUGUAGGCUUCCCUUGAACCAGUUGGAUAGCAGAUCUGAGGAAUAGACAUUCACAAAUAUCUAUGGAUGAAUUUAUUUCAGAUUUGGAUCUAUCUCGGCAGAUCUCAUCAUCUUUAUUGGACCUUACAACUGUUGAUUAGCAGAUCUGACGAUUACAGCAUGCACAGAGUGAGCUGCAACGAUUUGUUCUAUGAUGGAAUGAUUUUAAAAUUUAUGGUACUUUUUAGAUCUGUCCUCAAUUUCUUAAGUCUUAUGUAUUUGUUAAAUUGCAGAUCUAUAAUUUUAGUGCAUGUUUUAUCUGCCAUUAAGGCAGUAAUGUAUAUCAAUCGUGCUGGACGAUUUCCAGUAAUCCGUUAUUGAAAUAUGUUUUCUUAUCAAAAAAAAGAUGUAGGUUUCCCUGUAAUUAAAUAUUUAGAGUCCGGUAUAUAUCUGAAUAGUUAUCAAAGUGGAAAUAUGUGAUGAUUAAUAAACCUCGCGGCCAGCUUAAUGAUCGCUAAAAAUGGUUUGAACAUAUGAGGUUGUGAUUCAAUUAACAAGUAUUGUGAUGUAGUGUGUAGGUUUAAUUAUGCAAUUAUACAGCUAGUUUACACUUGAUUAAAUUAGCUAGAUUACUUGAACAAGCUGUCCGACGACGUCAUGCACCGUAGUAUUUAUUCAUUAUUAUAAAGACAUGAACCACAAAUGUGAAAGGUAAAUUAUACUACAAAUGAGCCAUGGUACCUUCAAAACUUAAAAAAGGUUAAUAAAUGAGGAGAAAAAAUAUACACAAGCAGGAAGACGAUAUAUAUAAAUAUCAUAUGAUUAAACAAAUCACAGAAAAUUAGGCUAAUUAACCGAUAGUUCUGUUUCUAAAAGCAAUUACAGGAGAAUUGUCAUGAAAAAUUGCGCCCGUAUGGAUUAAUGUUUUCUUGAAAUUUUUGUAGAAAAAUGUACCGUCAUAAUUUGAUGUAUGUGACAUAAAAAGGUGAUUGAAAAAUAUAUUUAUGAAAAAUAAAAAAGAUUUUCUUUAGAAAUUGUAACCCAAUGUUAAAUUAAUAUUGUGCAUAAUAUUAACCUAAAAUGAAAAAAAAAGGAACUAAAAUGAAGGGAUAUAAAUGAUUAAUUCGGCAGGAAUGUGGAAAAACAAGCUAGAUAUCAAUUUGACAUCAAUUCAAAAUGUCGUUUCACAAGUCACGUAACAGCCAUAGGCCCAUACCCCUAAGCCGAAAGAGAAGAGAGUGACAAUUGACAAGGAUGUAUGCAAUUAAGGUUUCCGGUUUUCCUGUCUUUUUAAUGUAAUAUAUAUAUUACAUCAUGGACAUGCGCGCAUGUUCAUGCAUGGGGACAAGUCUUUCCCUGUCAACUGGCAUGUUACACUGUCUUUUGGUGGCUACAAAAAUCCAAAAAUUAGUCCAAUUUGAUGGGCCACUUUUGCUUGCCUAGCCGUGAUGGCGUACUCUAAAUUAAUAAGCCAAGUGGCAUGGAGAAAUGAGAAUUGUUCUGAGGCUGUGUGGAGGUUGAUUUGGGGCAUAAGAACACAGCUAAGAUCGAUGCCUUCCAUAUCACCAUCUCUUUUGCAGUAAAAUGACGUUACAGAAAAUAUCAGGAUUUCUGAGGUGUUGAAAUUUAUGAUGAUUCAUAAUGUAUUUCCCAUCCAACAAUGCAUGUGCAAAUCUUUCUCUAAUUGAUUGUAAAUACAGUUUCGAGUAGGGGUGGCUGUGGUUUCGUGUAAGACUUGCCUCUUUUAGAAGCGAUGGUGAUCCACGUGAUUCAUUGUAAAAUAAUUGACGUCUUAAGUAAUUGAGUGAUAUUUCGUCAAUAAUUGAUUAGUAUCUUCCAUUGGACGAUGAUCGAUCGAUUUCUUCUAGUAAUUAAUAUUUCAAAAUAAUCAAUUAAUUAGUUAGAGAUAUUUUCAAUUAUGAUUUAUGGUAACAUUCUCUUAACGAAAGGAAACCCUAGGGAUUGAAUAUUUGUCAAGCUCCUAACCUAGCCUAUAAAUAGCUUAUGAUAAUCCAUUCAUUAUUUUGGAUUAGGCAUAAAUUAGGAAGGAGACAUGGAGGAAGGAGGUAUAGUGGAUUUACAUUGGUAAUAUUCCGCUAUUUAGUACAUAUAAGUGUAUAUUUUGUAUAACAUUUUGUAUAAAAUUGGAACUAGAAUCGGCUCGAACUAUGAUACAAAGAAAAACGAAGGAGGGGGAUUGGUUCCCUAUUGUACUUCCGGUUUGAACCUUGUACUAUUAAGUAUAGGAGAUCAAAUCCAACUAUCCACAUUGAAGAAACUUAUGUUUUUUUUCCCUUAAGGAAUCAAUGGUAUGAGAUUUUUCUUAUAAGUCAUAUUUUUCCAUAAAAGACUAGCUCUUUAUGCAUUUCCUCUAUUAUAAGAAUAGAGUACCCAUUUUUUCAUAAAUAAAUUUAUUUAUAGGAUAAAAUAAAAAUAAGACAAUUUUCCAAUAAAACAUUAGCUCUUUAUAGCUUUCCUCCAUUAUAAGAACAGAGUAUCCAUUUUUCCAUAAACAAAUAUAUUUAUUGGAUAAAAUAAAAAUAAAUUCGUUCUCCAAUAAAACACCAGUACUUUAUAGUUUUAGAAUGAAGGAUUACAAUGUCGCUGUCUCUAUCACCAUCAACUUUUGACUCCCUACUUCUUCCAUCCCACCCAACACCAGAAUGAAAAAGAUUUCACAAAAGAUCAAACCUUACAUGAAAUGAUCAACUAUAAAGCUUUAUUAAUAUGUCAACCGCAACUAGGUUCAAAUGCUAUACUGAGCAGGUUCUUAAUAUACAAAAAACAAUUCGUACUAAAAUCUCACAAUUAAUUCGCAGCAAGUCAUCAUUCCUGCACUGAACAAGACCCCUGAAGCGAAGAUCUUUGGGUUGAGGUUCUUAAUAUACAAAGAAUAAUUCAUACUAAAAUCUCACAAUUAAUUCAUAGUAAGUCAUUUUUCUUACACUGAACAAGACCCCUGAAGCGAAAAUCACAAACCCUUGGAUUUGGGUUGUGGGUUUUCUUCAACUUUUUUUAGAGAUCUUUCUGGUGGAGAUCUUGUUGAACAAUUUGCCCACUAAAGAUAUUUGCCUACUAUUAAUCCAUUUAGAUCUACUUUAGAUCUUUCUUUUUUCAAGACAUUUUGGAUUAAUGAAGAAAAAGAGAUAGGAAAUCUGAUGAAGAAGAAGAACAUAAGGUGCGGCGUGUGAUGGAAAGAAAGAGAGGGUAGAUCCGUCAUAAAUGUUGUCUGAGGGAAUAAGUUGAGGAUUUUGUCCAAAACCUCCCAAUUUGCUCGGGAAUGGGAUAACUCCGAUUUUUUAGAAAUGAUUCCAAAAUUUGCAUUCGAAUAAACUUAACCCAAGCAUCAAAUAAGGGAUUUACUCUUUUCUAUGAUUUCCAAACCCUUUAACCAAGCAGUCUCUUAUUUUUAAUAGAAUAACAGAACAAUGCAAAACUCAUAUGUGAUUAGAGUUGUAAACGAACUGAAACGAACCGAGUAUCUCAUGUUUGAACUCUAUUCGUUAAGUGAUUCGAACUUCAUUCGUGUUCGUUCGUUAACUUUCGAACUCUAAACCUGUGUUCGUGUUCGUGUUCGGCUCGUUUAACAUAAAUGAGCCGUUCGUGAACACGCUAGAAAAGUUCGAAUCCAAAUUAUUUUAGGCAUUAAAUAUGUCACACAAAUCAUUAAUCAUCCUAAAAAAUAAUUAAAAGACUAAAUGACUAAAUUUCAUUAUUCAUUAACUGCAUAACCAACAUUAACAUAGAAACAACAAAUAAUACAAAGUAAUUUGUCCUUGAAAUGUAAAAAUUCAGCCAUAAGACAAGUACAAAUUUGCUCCACUUCACAAUUUGACUACUACUACAUCCACUUCAUCUAUCCAUUUGAAUCCAUCAGCCACGGCAAAGAAAAUGAAGUAAUUGGACCAAAUUCAUUGUAGUUGAAAAGAGCUAGGUGGACCAAGGCAUUCGAAUUUUUUUCCCCAAGACUCUGCAAAGAAUAGAAUAAUAAUCAACUACAAAAGUUUUCAAUCAAUUUUAAAAAUAUCAAUCAAAAGGAACUAGACAUCAUACACGCAUAUAGAGGAAUUAAGAAUGACAAACAUUGAAAAUUUCCACACAACCAACUGAAGACUGAAACAUUGAUUUAGCAGCUUGAAGCUCAAAAGCAUGGAAAUGGAAGGAAAAAAAAAUGCUUUGCUGCUUGCUGCUACUGCCUUGAUGUCUUAAAUCAUCAUGCCCCAGUUUUGACUGAUUAAUGAAUGUGUCUUGAUGAAAGUAAAAAAAGGAAAUGAUAUGCACAAGAAAUAUUACAUUAUUCCAAGAUUUCGAGUAUUAGAUGCCAGAAGACGAAACUACAGUUGAAGACAUCAAGUGAGGGACAAAUUGGCUAGCGUUAGUGCUAAAACUUUGACCCCUUCAAGCUUGCAAUCAAAUUCGAUCUAAUGAAUUCAAAAAAUUCCAGAUUGAAAAACACAAAUUCAUAGAUCUGUGAAAAAUCAUACCGAAUCAAAAGAGGGAGGCAUGCGAUCUCCGAAGUCAGCCAGCGACCAAAGAUGUUGAUUGGGGCAAUUGAAACUCCGGUCUCUCUCAGCAGCAGACAAGUACCAUUAACAAUCGAAAACUUGAAACCACAAAGGAGAAGACCAACUUGGGCUCCACCCCCAAACCCAAUGUCCAAUUUUAAAAGAGAAAGAAAAUCUAACUAGCUUAUGUGAUAGGAGAUUUGGACGGUAGAAAGUCUAGAACAGCAGUGGCCAACGGCAAUAGGGAAUGAAAACAAAAGUAAGGGGAAAGUUUUAGAAUUUCUUAUGAGUAACCCUAAAAUUUAUCAAAUGACAAUUAUGUCCUUAUUGUGACGCCCCGAAAAAAAAGAGUUUGAGAACCCGGAAAUUUUCUAAUUUUCUAGGGUUUAUUUUUUUUAACGCCCGCCUUUUCUACAUUUUCUUGAUUAGAAAAAUUCCCCAGAUAAAGUUUAUGAGCAAAAAUAGUUUUAAAAUGAUUUUUCUAGCAUCGGUUAGUUUUUGAGAAAUUAAAAGCGUAUUUUGAACGUGGGACCCGCAAGUGCGGUAAAUGUAAUAUAUUUUUGAUAACUUGUUGGAGUUUUGUGCUAAGUGAUAUUUUUCUACAAGGUGUUAAGAGAUAUUUAUGGAUUGGUGUGAGAGGGAACAAAGAGAUAGAGAUUCUUUAUUUAAGUGACAAGUGUCACUUGGCUAUUGGUUGGACCAUUUGACUACUAUUGCAUGUCUUACCAAGUGACUUAAAUAUCUUAAAAAUUCACCAAAAAUCCCUCAUUCUUCUCUUCCUCUUGGCCGAAUGUCUUGUUCAAAGAAAGAAAGAAAACUCUCUCAAAUUUCAAGCUCUAAUCUUGCCCAAUCUUUCAAUUAAACCGAUUAAUCUUCCAAUUACUCCAUAAAACCUUUUAGUUUGGUGGAGUUGAGCUUGGUUGUGAAGUUGUUUGAGAAGCUAAGGUGACAAGUAGCUCUCCUUCUUGGUUUUGCUAAGGUGAGUGGUGGAUGAACACCUCUCCUUCCUCUAAUGAUGUUCAAAUCAUGUUUGGUGGUUGUAUAAGAUGCAAAUUUAUGGAUUAAAUCUUGAUUUUGGUUGAAUUGGUGAAGUUUUAUUAUUAUUGGGGAUUUUUUUCUGUUUUCAUAUGAACAUGCUUGUGGCACUAUAUAUGAUGAUUGGAAAUGAUGUUUAAGGGGUCUAUGAGGUGGAAAAAGUGAUUAAUUGCAAUCAAUUUCUGUUUUGGAAGAAAUUUCAGAAAAUCAGGGUUUUGUGAUGAACAUUCUGUCCGAAUUUUUAGGUCCUAGAUAGAGGCCGAAUUGGCAUUUGUUUAAAACAUGAAAGUUGUAGGGAAUGACAUUUUAAAGGUGUCUACAAAAUUUCAGGUCAAUCGGAGUAGUGUGGAAGGAGAAAAGUCGAAAUUACUAUUGCUGUUCUGGUUUUACUCGAAAUUGAGAAGUGCGUCUGUAAUUGGUUGUUUUGGCUGGGAAUGCUUUGGAAUUGGUUGUUGCGGUCUUCUGAUGUAUUGUAGCCCUGUUUCUUAGCUUUCAGCUGGUUUUGGAAUUUCUGGAUUUGGACUUGGAUAGCCUGAUUUAUGAUGUUUCCGCUAGAAUGCGUUCUGUGAAUAUGUUUUUGUCAUUCUGGUAUAGUUUCUUGCAUUUUUGAUCUUGUUACACUCGAAACUGGGUUGAGUGAUCUUCUGCAAUAUUGUAGCCCUAUCUCUUAGUUUCGAAACGGUGUACCUUGCACCUUCAUCCGACAAUCGUAGUGCCUUUGGUACCAUUACCGCAAAAUGACAUCAAAACCUGUUUUUCUGGUUUUGAGCUUAACUUUCAUUUCCGGACUUUUCCCUAGCUUGACUUGUCUUUGUACUUCUUGGAGUUUGCUGAAUGGCUAUUGGAUGAACUUGUUGUUGUGUGUGUACCUUUGGGUUUGAAUGAGAAGAAUAAUGAAGCCAUGAUGGCUGGAAAAGUUAGCAAAUGUAGGGGAAGUGCUGUCCGAACUUUUAAAGGACUUGUUUGCAUUGAGUUUGUGAUCUAAGACUUGGAUUUGAGCAAGGCAAUGUUAUAUGAUGGAUGAUUUCUGAGCCAUGGAGGUGAGUGACCCUAAACUGUUUCCAAAGUUACUUUUGAAAUGUUCCUUGCAUUGUUUCUUUGGUUUGCAUAUCAUGUGUGCGCGCAUACGAGUUCUUGACAUGGUUUGGCUUUAAUGAGUUCUUGAGGAGUCUUGUGCUGGACACCAACGUCUCCACCACUUUCGUGAGUUUGUGAUAUGAUCUGGAGCACCGAUGCUGCUCCCCUUUAAUGUUUAUGGUUUCGUGAUCUGUUUGAGCGUUGGGUGUUUAGUUUCAAUGAUUUCACUGGCUCACGAGAGCAAAAAUACGUGCAUUUGAUACUUGAAUCAUGACAUCAUCGAAAUGAAUUAUUGUGAAAGAUAUUUGAUUACUGGUUUUAUUUGGUUACUCGCUGAGCUUCUAACUUACCCCAAAAAUAUUUUAUUCCCCUCCACAGGGCUCAAGGCGAAGGCAGGACUUGUUGUGCUUAUUCCUGUGAAUGGAUGGAUUAUCUCGUGUAUGGUUUGAAUUUGGAUUUCCUUUUGUGUAAUAGUUAUUAUUAGGGAUUGUAAUGAAUGUUUGGAAUCGAUUGGAUGUAUACAUACGUUCCACGCUUGGAAUUAGUUUCCGCUUCGUUUUGUUUAUAUGUAAAUAUUCGAGAUUUACAUUGUAAUAUUUGAGGUUUAUUCUUGUAAUAUAUUUGAGGAUUGUAGUGAACGACUGAGUCCCGGCGAGAGCUGGGCAGGCGGCCCGCCGAACCCUCUGGUUCGCCUCAGGGGGAGGUGGGGCCGUCACACUUAUUCGCGAACGUUCGUUAAAAUUCGCAAACAUGUUCGUGUUCGCUCGAUUAUUAAACGAACACAAAAUUUUAUUCGUAUUCGGUUUGUUUAAGGUUUUCGAACAAGCCUUUAACGAACAUGAACGAGCCGAAACGAAUUGAGCUAACGAACAGCUUUGUUCGUUUAACAGCUCUACAUGUGGUAAAUGUCUUUUGGAGAAGAGAUCUUCCAAAUUUUAUUUUGCCAUUUCUAAUGUCGGAUUUGUUGGGAAGUUAAAGAAAUUUGGAUGUUUUUAUUAAAAAAAAAUUGGAAACUCUAUGUUAUAUCUUAUCUUCUUGUGUGUCUUCUUACUCUUAUUAUGACAUUAACUUAUGCACUUAAUAAAAAAAAAGAAUAUGAGAUAUAAAUAAAUUUUUAAACUUUACAGAUUAUCUUAUCUUACUAUAGCUGUUCUGUUUUGGACUGAAGAUCUUCUAAAUUUUUUUAUAUUAAAUUUUAAUAUAAUGCAUGUUGUGACGUGAAAUUUAUGAGAUAAAAUGUAUUAAAGUACAUGUAAGUGCCCGGUGCAACCCAAUGAGUACAAACAAAUUCACAAUGAUGCACAAAGAUAUAUCAAAUUUAAGCACAAUAAAGAAAACUUAAUUAAAGAGAAAAGAUAAGAAAUGCAAACCAAAUAUCAAUCCAAUAGCCUCUUCAAUUGAUGGCGAUGCUAACCAAGAUGUACAAGUGAAGGUUCACUCCUUCCUCACCCCAAACACACUUUGGUUAAGCCAAGGAGUUUUACAACUAUUUUAGUUAACCCUCAACAACCUACACUUGAAAGAUCACUCACCCAAUUAAGAACUAUUUUACACAAAUGAGGCAACCUUCACCAAGGUUUUACCACUUCAAGUGAUAGGUUCACCUUCACCAAGGUUUUACUCCUCUUAGAGAAUAACCUUCACUUGAGCAACCUCACAACCCAACUUUCCCAACCCCUUAUACAACCAACAAAGAAUCUUUCUACUCAAAAAUCUCACUUGUAAGCUUGUAUUUUGUGUUGGCAAAAGUCUCUAGUCUUCUUGUGCUUUGGGGUUUUUAUAGAAGGUGAGAAAUGGCUCCAAAAGACUCUCCAACGGUCAAAUAUUAAAUGCUGUCAAAACUAGCCGUUGGCCUGUCGGACGUCCGACAGGUGCCUGUCGGACGUCCGAACCCUGCGUCCGAACGUAGGCAGAGAGUCAUCAAAUCUUUGCGAAAUUUCUCGGACGUCCGAUGCGAUCAAUGAGCGUCCGACAGAGUUUUCUUCUUGAUGUUCUUCAUCCUUUCGGACGUCCGAUAGCGUCCUUUUGGCCUUCCGACAUGAGUGACCUGAUUUUGCUUCUUCAUUUGGUUGGUUUUCUUUCCUUGACACCAUUGAACCUGAUUCUAACAAAUUUCUCACAUAAAAACAUUAGACCAAAUCUACAUUUUGGUUUGUUAAACAUCAAAACCAAGGAUUGAUCGACCAAGGUCAACAGUACAUAUUAUUGAAUAAUGUAAAAAAAAUCAUGAGGUUUUACAAUAUCCCCUUCCAUAACACAACAUCUCAAAAGUCAUACUGGAUUGAUUAAAGUUGCUUAUAUUUGUUAAAAAUCCAAAAGUUGUACAUGUUUAGUACCCAAUACUUGAACGCUUAGGAGGUUUUUUUUGGGUAAUGCCCUUUUGAAAUAGUAGAAGAAGUAUGCACUUUAAACAUUUUAUUCUGUAAUUUUCAUUGUUCUAUUUGAAAUUCUCAAAAAAAAAAUUACUUCUUAAGUAUUUAAUUUUUACAAACAUGAAAAUUCUUUUUUCCUUACUCUGGAAGACUAAUUCUCAAGAUAGAAUAUAUUUAUGUUCACCAAAGCAUUACUGCAUUCUAGUUGUCCUUCCACUAUUUAACUACUUAAGAGAAUGUUAAGUUGCAAAUAUUAUGGCAGCUAUUGUCUACAGGUCCAGAUUCUUGAAGUUGUUUUUUUUUUUUAUUAUAAUAUGCAAGACUAUGAGUCAAAUCACCUUAACUAGAGAAUGUUGUGAAACAUAUAGUAAUUGGCAUAAUUUUUUGAUGCUAGGGAGUCCUAAAUGCUCAAACAAUUGGAGGAUGAUGAAGCUUAGUUCUUCAUAUACUACUUGAAAAGUUAGGCCUUGUUUGGAUUGUGAUUUUUUGAAAAAAAAAAUAUUUUCUGUGAACGCAUUUUCUAGUUAUUUUUUUAUCUCACAUACAUCAAGUCGUUAUAAUAUAUUUUUCUACAAAAAAUUCCUAAAAAUGAUAGCAUAUACCGGCAUUAGAUUACAUAAACUUGAGGAGUUGAAAGGGAAUUUGGAUCAAGUUGUCAAAACAAUUCUUUUCCUAAACAGUAUGAUAUGAUAGCAUUUGCAAAAUCUCAAGGCACAGUGGUUGGAAUUAUGCGUUUUUCUCUGCUCCAAAUGUUGCAAAAUAUCUUACAAGAUUCAUGACUUAAUGGGAAUUCUAUAUUAAUUUAUAUUAUUUUAGGGUUCUUGAAGACUUUAUUAGUUUAUUAUUUUAGCUGAUACAGAUAUAGACUUCUCAUUUGCUUUUGGAAGUAUUUUAUGCAACUGGUAAUUGAGCUAAGAAAUUAUAUAUCUUCAACUUGGAGUUUUCUUCUACAGUUCCUGUAAUCUUUUUUGUUUGUCACUUUUUGAAGAACAGGUUUGUACUUUACAAAAAUGAACAAAAAAUAGCAUGCAGAAACUGAAACCAAAAGACAAAGCGCAUGUAUGUUGAUUUGGAUAGCAGUGCCAUAAUUGUUAUUCUAUUCUCUUUUUUUCUUUAACUAAUAGCCUUUCAUUUUUUCUUUAACUAAUAGCCUUUCAUUUUUUCUUAUGGAGUAAAUUCAAUACAAAAAUUGAAAGAUGAGCAAUCUCUAUAAUUGUAGGUGUAACUAUAGACUGCAAGUUUGCAUGCAAUUCAUGGUUUGAUCUCUAUAUCUUUUGAACUUAAUGUUUGUGAUUAAGUUUUUUACCCCAAGAAGCCAAAUGGAGUUGACCCUCAACUUUGAGAAAAUUUCUUUUUAAGCUUGGAAAUUUUGACAAUUUUUUAAGUUGUUCCUUAUUUGCACCAUCUCAAAUUUUUGAAAUUCUCUUUCGUAUCUAAAUUGCCCCCAAUAUUUUUUAUGUUCUUUUUCUUAUCUACAUUUCCCUUCUCAAAUUUUUUAAAGUCUUUUUUUUAAAUCUACAUUCAUCCCCUAAACAAAUCAAAAUUUCUUAAUUCUUAUGCUUCAGAAGAGUGUUGGAUCUAAUUAAGGUUAGUUAUAAACACUUGUGACAUUUUCCAAACAACUGUUACAUUAUGCCACAAUUUUAAUUACAAACUAUAAUUGACAUGAGAGGAAAACUUAACAUAGGCAUCUUUCGAUUGUAAAUUUACUAUUAUUAAAUUUCAUAUAAUGUAGAAAAUUGAAUCUCCUAACCUUAGGAUUCUAGUUCCCCCACUAUACACAAUUCUUAAAAACAUACAAAAAAAACAAUAUAUAGAGAUUUGGUGCUAUCAUAUAUAACAUACAAAAAAAACAAUAUAUAGAGAUUUGGUGCUAUCAUAUAUAUUUCACUUUAUAAUUUUGAGUGACAAUUGUGUAGAGUCCUUUUAUAUAUUGAAUUUCAGAAUACAAUUUCAAAUUCCUACCAAUCUCUGUAAUUUUUCCUGAAGUUAUAUGCAGGUCCAAGAGUAACCUUUAACAAGGAGUGGAGUUAAAUUAAUUUAGAAAAACAAAAUACUCAAAAUACCAAAUCAAAUCACCAAUGUACCCAAGAUUUUCUAUAAAAACUUAUGUAACUGCUAUAAAAGAUGGAAGAUUACUGCAAAAUACAAGAUCUGAUCUAGUCGCGACUAAUUGAGGUAGAGGGUGGUUUAACGGGCGGGAUGGGGAAUGGAAGGGGUGGCAGGGGAGGGAAGGGGAGGAGAAAUGAAGAAAAAGAAAGAGGAAGAAAGAGAAGGAGAGGGAGGAAGGAGAGAGGAGGAGAAGCAGAGAGAAGAAAAAGGGAGGGUGGUGCCGAUGGUGAAGGAGGGAGGGUGGUGAUAGUGGCAUUACGCCCCCUAAUAUUUAUAAAAACUUUUAGUGUGUAUUAUGAAUUUUUAAAUGAAAAGUUGCUUCAAUUAAAUACUUGUCCCCAAAAUUUGAGAAAUAGUAUACAAUACAUAUCAUUGUAAUACACUCUAAAUUUUAUUUUGGAUAGAUUUCAAAAAUCUUAUUUACAAAUAUAAAUAUUUAACUCAAAAAAAUUACUUUUAUAUUAAGUCUUUGCCCUCCAAACUUAAGAUAAUGAUUUGCUAAAGACAUUAUUGUCAUACAUUUCAUGUUUGGCCUCUCCCAACUUGGAAAUUCUGACUUUUAUUAUUGAAUGUAGAAUAAAUAUUUCCUAAAAACGUGUAGUUCAUAUUGAUUAAUAGAAGAAACAAAACAAAAAAAAAAGGCAAAAUAGAGAAUAUUGAUAAAUGUGGGCCAUUUAUAUUAGUAGAUUAGAUGUUAUAUUUUCAAGUAACAACUUUUCUUAAUCCACAUUGUAAUUUUGUUAGUAUUAGACUUAGCCAGAAAAGAAAAGCCACAAAGAUUCCAAAAAUUUUAUUCACAAAUAUAUCCUUUUACUCAAAAACUUACUUAUACAUUAAGUCUUUGCCCUCAAAACUUCAAGAAUAUGAUUUGCUAAAGGUAUUAGACACCCUCAUUAAUAGAAUUAGAUAUAAAGGAUUUUUUUAAAUCCACAUUCAUAAUUUCAUUUUAUUAGUUUUUGCAAAAAAAAAUUAAAACUGCCCUACCCACUAUGUUUUAGAAUAAAUAUUUUCUUUUUUUUUUGUAAAUUAAAGUUUAGAAUGAAAAUUUUUUUUUCCCCAUUUCAAGGUCAACGCGGGCAACAAGGUUGGGAGUCCUGAACAGGUUCACGGUCCAGUUCAGUGAAAACUAGGCUCUUUGAUGUUGGACCUUUGCAGAAUAAUUGUUGUUAUUGGGCCUUUUUGCCCGAACCAGUAUUUGUAGUAAUCUGUUCUUGAGCCUGAAUUAAACAUUGGCAAGGAAUAUUAAUGGGCCUGGCUAAUUGGAGCUUAUAUUUUCUCCUUAGGAACAAAUACUAACAAUCAAUGAAAAGAUUUUACCCCCAAAAAAAAAAAAUUCAAAUAGUCCUUCCUGAGCAUACCCUUUUUUCCCCCUUUUAGGCUAGAAAACCAAAAUUUGAUGGAGUAUACAAAUAUUUUAUAUAAUGUAGAAGUUCCUUCAGUUUAAGCACUUGAUUAAAGAUAUCAUAACUUCUAAAACUAUUAAUUUUGGAGAAAUAGGUUAGAGUGGAAGAUUUUGCCAUUAUAUUGAUUCCAAUUCCAUGCAAAUGUUCUUGUGGAUGUACUUUAUUUUUUUGAGAUACUCAGCAUGAGAACUAAAUUAUGAUGAAAUGCUAUUGGAUUAAUCUCUUAUACACUAACAGUGUAUACACUAUCGCCAUUAAAUGCAUGACAACUAAUCUAAAUUUCAAUUUCAAUUUCAAAUUUUGCUCAUGUGUCAUAUAUCUAAUCUUGAUAGUGUAUGCACUAUUAAUGUAUAUAAGAUUUACUCAAUGUUAUUGUGCUAAACUAAUUUCAUAUCCUUAUACUGAAUAAGGAGGGCCUUGAAUCAAACUUUUCCUUUGAAUUUCUAUGCUAGUUUUGGGGUUAACGUACAAGUAGUAGAAGCAGGCAUUUUGAGUGUAGUUACUCUUUUGGCGUUAAAAUCUUGAGACAUCGAAUAUCUUUAUAAUAGGGUUUGUUUGGAUUGUAAGUUAUUUGGGAUAUUUUUAUUAUAGCACUUUUUUGUGAUGUGAUGUAUGUGAGAUAAAAAGGUAAUCGGGAAGAUAAAAAAGUGUAUUGAAAAUUGUAAUGAUGAUGUAAACAAAUAAAAUUGGAGAAAUAAUGCUCAAUCCAAACAAACCCAAAUAAUCCGCAAUCCAAACAAAUGCGUAGAUAGUUAACUUUUUUUUUUAAUAGUGUAGGUAGUUAACUUAAUUUUACGUGUUUUCAUAUUUAUCUUUAUCUCUAUUAUCCAUUAACCUUAUCUCUAUUAUAAAUUGACACACAAAUCCUACUCAACAAAAUCCAUCUCCCUUUAAUUCUGACGUUCUCCUUAAUUAAUGGUUUUUCACUUUUCUAACCAUCUUCUCCGGUCAAUCAACAUUUUCUCUCAAAUUUUAAUACCGUUUCAUAUAGCACAUUGUACAUAUUUCUGUAUAAUGCACUUUGACAACAUAUUACAUAAAAUAGUUAUAUUCGCUUGCAUUAUUUAUGUGAUUUAUUUAAUUAAAAAUAUUUUUUUAACAAGUUAUACACGUUCGAUGACUAGUUAGUUUAAUACGUGUGUUUCUUUCGAAACGACUGUUGGAAUUGCUGUUAAUUCGGUUAUUCAAAUGAUGCAAACUGAUUAUCACAUGAUUGCUGAGCAGAGGUCACCGCGGUUACUUCCGUAUUGCUGAAAAGCCAACCGUUACUUCCACGUCUUAGAAAACUGGAAAGCCGUCACUUCCUCCUCUCCCAUUUUUGUCGGUGUUCCGCUUCGUACAUAUACGUCCACCGGUCCACCCCUUGUUGCUGUUGCUGCCUUUGUUUUCAACUUUCACUUUCUCUCUCUUUUUUUUUUUUUUUUUUAACUUGGUUUUUUAAUUCAUAAACUUAUCUUGCUUUUAUUUUAUGGAUGCAAAUUUUCAUUCUCAUUAAUCUCAUGUUUUUCUCGCUUACGGUAAUUGUGAAAUUUGUACUCUUUUACUCGACAUUGUUUGUCAAGCUAAAAUUUCCCUUUUGAUGAAGAUUCAGUUGGGUUGUGCCUUCAAGGCCGUUCAUGAAACAAAAACUAACCUCUAGGUAGGUGCAAGUGCAACCCAAUCCUCCCUCUGAAAUAAAUCAUUCGCCUACCUUUUUUUUUUUUUUUUAUAAUUACAGCUACGUUUAAUUUAUCGUUGUGGGUUGUUACCAAGAUUUGGAUUUUGGGUUUUAAAAUUGAAGGCUUUUUGGUAAAUCUAAUGCCAAAAAGAGUAACAUGUUUUGGGGCAGCUUUUUUAUUUUAGAGAGUAGUGGUAAAGCCAAUGUAGCUACAGUAAUUUUUUUUAGACAUAUAUAUCAAAUCGUUACAGUAAUUUUUUUGAAACUCGUAUCAAUCCGCAGAAUUUGAUUCUUAUUCGAGAGUGAAGGUCUGGCCAGAGCUCUUUCAGAAAUCGAACUUGCGACCGCCGAUUGUUAAACAGAAGUCGAACUUGCGACCUCCUCCGAUUGGAAUUAACAACCGCUUAUUAACUGCUCCAAUUUUACGGGUUAUCGGUUGACCUUUUUGACUAAGCAGUAAUUUACUAAUUGUCACUUUUUUUCAUGUCCACUCACCUUUUACUUUUUCAUACAAUUACCCUAUAAACGCUAAUUAACAAGCUUUCACUUAACGUCCAUUUAACAUACUCUUUAUGAAUCAAGGAUGGGAAUUCUACUUCAAUAAUUACAUUAAUUACCAGAUAUCUCUAUAACCAAAAGGUAUUAAUGGCCUCUCGUAUCGUUUAUGCUUUAUAGCUCCUUUGCUUCGGACUCCACUUUCAAGUUCUUUUCUUUUUUUUUGUCUUGAUGUCUCUAUUUGAAAUUUCUACUACAUUUCCAUCUUCAAAUCCAAAUUCCGAUGUGAAUCUACCAAACAAAUAAAAAAAUAAAAAAGAAAAAAAAGAAAGCCACACUUCCAAUUUUUUUAGAAAAAAAACCUGCAUUAAAUAAAACAAAUUAAGAAUACACAAGCACAAAAUUUACAAAAUAUCCAUUAAAACCCUCCAUAAAAACUUUUCCAUCAUGCAUGCAUAUACGACACAUUGUCCAUAUACACAUGAAAUUCCAACUCUCUAUUAACAAAUUCCAACUCAAGAAAUUCGAGGACACUAUUUUCCCAUUUUACCCCUUAAAAACCACCAUGACUACUACUGCUUACCACUACAGCUACUAGACUAUUUUUUUUUCAUUAAUUAAUUUUCUAGUCCUCCUACUUCUCCAGUUCUCCCUAAGGACCCUACCCUAUGCAAAGCCCUCACGUGCACACUCACAGACCUGGGUCUCAUGUUACACGUGCGAGCGGCUCAUGAAUUUCAAUUUUCAUGUUUUCCACUGUAAUAAACAUGGACUUUCGAUUUUUCCCUUUUCUUUUCCCCCGCCCCUCCUUAAGUUAAUACGGCUUCUGCAGGUACAUGAACAUAUCCUGGAGCGGCGACAUCUGAUAAGUCCCCUGGAAGUGAGGAGGAGGAGGAGGAGGAGGAUUCAUCAAUGCAUUUCCGGUGCUGUCCAUGGCAGGGGCAUCCACGUAAUUAAAGGGAAAAUCGAGGGCGGCUUUCUCCCAGUCGCUCAGCUUGCGCUCGCUCUGGACUUCGCACGUGUUGUGCGAGGAGAAUUCAGGGGAGACCACUUGCUCCGAACAGCUGGAGUCGGUGUGCAGCUUGGGGACGGAAUCCGCUGGGUCGAGGUACAUGAAAUCGCUGUACACCACCGGUGAUGUCUCGGCCAAUGACGUCAUUAUCACCGGCUUUUUGUCCUCUUCUGUC